UCUUUCAGAAUCUCUGGAAGAUUUUGGGGACAAAAUUUUGGGACAAAAUUUUGGGGCAGGAUUUUGGGGCAGGAUUUUGGGUCAGGAUUUUUGGGGCAGAAUUUUUGGGACAGGAUUUUGGGACAAGAUUUUGUGAACAGGAUUUUAGGGGCAAGAUUUUUAAAGCAGGAUUUAGGGACAGGACUUUGGGGCAGGAUUUUUGGGGCAGGAUUUUUGGGGCAGAAUUUUUGGGACAGGAUAUUGGGGACAGGAUUUUGGGACAGGAUUUUGGGGCAGGAUUUUAGGGACAGGAUUUUUGGGGCAGGAUUUUUAGGGCAGGAUUUUGGGGGCAGGAUUUUGCCUCUCCAAAGGGGAUUUUGCACUGAUGCUCCCCCAGCUGAGAAAGGGACACAUCCACCCCAAACCUGCAGGGAUGGGAAACUGAGGUUCAGGUUUUUGUUUUUUUUUUUCCCCAAAAAUCCUGGGGCUGUGAGAACCCCCUAAAAAAUGACACCAGCCCUUUUUCACAGCCCACAGAAAUUUUUCCAAAAAUCCAGGGAGCCCCUCCCCGGGGGAAAUGGAGUCUGGUACCAGAGGAAUGAGAACAAAAAUACAAUUUAUUGACCAAACUAGAGCUUGUUUUGCACCACAAGCAGGGCCUGGCUGUAGCACCUUUGCUCCAGGUCACAUCCUGGGGGUCCUGUGGGGUGCAGCCCCCCCUCCCUCCCCAAAA
rnacentral:lncRNA from 12 species